rnacentral:rRNA from 1 species
GACGUAGGGCGCGAGCGUUGUCCGGAUUUAUUGGGCGUAAAGAGCUCGUAGGCGGCUUGUCGCGUCGUGUGUGAAAUCUCAGGGCUCAACUCUGACAUUGCAUACGAUACGGGCAGGCUUGAGUUCGGUAGGGGAGACUGGAAUUCCUGGUGUAGCGGUGAAAUGCGCAGAUAUCAGGAGGAACACCGGUGGCGAAGGCGGGUCUCUGGGCCGGAUACUGACGCUGAGGAGCGAAGCGUGGGGAGCAAACAGG